AUAGAUACCCGGGUAGUCCACGCCCUAAACGAUGCGAACUGGAUGUUGGGUACAUUACGGUACUCAGUGUCGAAGCUAACGCGUUAAGUUCGCCGCCUGGGGAGUACGGUCGCAAGACUGAAACUCAAAGGAAUUGACGGGGGCCCGCACAAGCGGUGGAGUAUGUGGUUUAAUUCGAUGCAACGCGAAGAACCUUACCUGGCCUUGACAUCUGUCGAAUCCUGCAGAGAUGCGGGAGUGCCGCAAGGAACGACAAGACAGGUGCUGCAUGGCUGUCGUCAGCUCGUGUCGUGAGAUGUUGGGUUAAGUCCCGCAACGAGCGCAACCCUUGUCCCUAGUUGCCAGCACGUAAUGGUGGGAACUCUAGGGAGACUGCCGGUGACAAACCGGAGGAAGGUGGGGAUGACGUCAAGUCCUCAUGGCCCUUACGGCCAGGGCUACACACGUACUACAAUGGUCGGUACAGAGGGUUGCGAAGCCGCGAGGUGGAGCCAAUCCCAGAAAACCGAUCCCAGUCCGGAUCGGAGUCUGCAACUCG
rnacentral:rRNA from 1 species